rnacentral:rRNA from 1 species
GCAAGCGUUGGUCGGAAUUACUGGGCGUAAAGGGCGCGUAGGCGGCCUGUUAAGUCGGACGUGAAAUCCCCGGGCUCAACCCGGGAACUGCGUCCGAUACUGGCAGGCUUGAAUCCGGGAGAGGGAUGUGGAAUUCCAGGUGUAGCGGUGAAAUGCGUAGAUAUCAGGAGGAACACCGAUGGCGAAGGCAGGUCUCUGGGCCACUACUGACGCUGAGAAGCGAAAGCGUGGGGAGCGAACAGG